rnacentral:rRNA from 1 species
AUUGAACGCUGGCGGCAUGCCUUACACAUGCAAGUCGAACGGCAGCAUGAUCUAGCUUGCUAGAUUGAUGGCGAGUGGCGAACGGGUGAGUAAUACAUCGGAACGUGCCCUGUAGCGGGGGAUAACUAGUCGAAAGAUUAGCUAAUACCGCAUACGACCUGAGGGUGAAAGUGGGGGACCGCAAGGCCUCAUGCUAUAGGAGCGGCCGAUGUCUGAUUAGCUAGUUGGGAUGGUAAAGGCUCACCAAGGCGACGAUCAGUAGCUGGUCUGAGAGGACGAUCAGCCACACUGGGACUGAGACACGGCCCAGACUCCUACGGGAGGCGGCAGUGGGGAAUUUUGGACAAUGGGGGCAACCCUGAUCCAGCAAUGCCGCGUGUGUGAAGAAGGCCUUCGGGUUGUAAAGCACUUUUGUCCGGAAAGAAAUCGCACUUACUAAUAUUAGGUGUGGAUGACGGUACCGGAAGAAUAAGGACCGGCUAACUACGUGCCAGCCGCCGCCGUAACAC